CGAACUAGGAUGCAUGUAGCUUGUCGAUCACCACUUGCCCAGGAUUUGCCAGAACCAGAUGCACAACAACAUGGGAGCUUUCAAUCAGCAGUCCUCUUGGCUGAUCUUUGGUGGGCUUAUUUUAUCGAGAUUAAGACAAACAUGAAUGCAUCUGGCGGCAUUUGCAGCUAGGUUCAUGGAUCAUCUUGUUGCGGUGCUACUUUUCACUUUAAGGCAUAUCCAGAUACAAGGGAAAAUGAUGCAAAGAAAGAAGAGGAAAAAAGAGGGGGACCAUCCACGCACUCAACCACCUGUAUGGUGACUCCACCCACCAUGGAUCAGACCCUGAGCUCCCUCUUUCUUCACUUCAACACUAUUUACAGAUGCCAAUCUCAUUUCUCUCUCUCACCCACAUUGCCUUAUUUUUCUUUUCUUUUCUUUUGUUUCUGCUUUUGGAACACCUUAGGGCUUAAACUUCCUCUGCCAACUUGGGAGAGCAGGUUACGACAGCAUCUCCAACCGUGAGAAAGAUCUUGUCCUCGCCGAUAUCAUCUGCGAACUUGGAUGCAUGAAGCUUGUCGACAACCACUUGCCCAGGAUUUGCCAGAACCAGCUGCACAAAAACAUGGGGGCUUUCAAUCAGGUAAUCUCUAAGCUCAUACAAUAUAAUAGACAUGAAUUGUUUCCAAAGAGUACGUAAUGUGAUUCUGCCGUGUUAAGUUUUUUACAAAGUAGAUUUUUCGAAA